rnacentral:lncRNA from 1 species
GCCCACCCAACAGAAGCCACAACAGGUCCCCAAAGAAUUUCUGCAGGCUGGGACUCCUGAGUGAAAUGAAGAAGUGGGAUUCAACAGAGAGAAAUGUGAAGUCUGCCAGCUAGGCCUGAGAAGCAGGCAUGACAAGAGAGGAUGCCCGUGUUACAGAUGAGAAAAACAGAGGCCCUGGGAGGAAGCUUGCCUAAUGCCACUCAGGAGGUAGAGGCAAAGCUGGGAAAGGCCCUGGGUCCCCAGACUGCCCCUCUGGAACUCCACAUGCAGCCACCUGGCUGUCCUGCCCGGGAUGCCAUCCGCAGGCUAGGCUGGCGCUCAUGCCCAUGCCCUGCUGUCCACUGACACCCCGCAGAGCUUAACACCCCGCUGAGCCUGCCCUGCAGCCCUUGCCAAGUCUGUCCGAGUGAAUGAAAUGAAAGAACGAAGAGGAAAAUCUUAACCUGUACAGCCUCUUGGAUGAUGGGGUGGGAAGUAAAGACCUGUCCCCCAGUUUCCUGCUGCCUGGAGAAAUCUGGAAGAUCUCCUAGGGCUUUGGAGAAUGAAGGCACCCUUGUCUGGAUGCCACCACAGCCUCCUCCCUCUCACCCCGGCCUCCUCCUCCUCAUCUUCAGCCCACCAAGGCCAGAUUUGUCUUGCAAAGUGGCAUCAUUAUAAACGCAUCAGCCUCCUCUGGACGCCUGUGCCUGCUCC